GGGAAUGGCUGAGCCCAUGGUGGGCUCCACGGACUUCAAAUCCGUUGGCGGGUCGGCUGACCGGCCCGCGGUGGGUUCGAUUCCCACACAUUCCC
rnacentral:tRNA from 1 species